GUAGAACUCCGUGCAGAGACUACACGUCCCAUGAAGCCCUGUAGUAUAAGCUUGAAGUGUCAUCAUUGGGGCCACCAAAGUCGUCUCGGGGCCAGUGGCGCAAUGGAUAACGCGUCUGACUACGGAUCAGAAGAUUCCAGAAAGCUAUCCUAGACAAUAUUCACAAACUAGAUAAAGGACAAAAAUGGUAUGGACCUAACAGAAGCAGAAGAUAUUAAGUAGAGAUGGCAAGAAUACACAGAAGAACUGUACAAAAAAAGAUCUUCAUGACCAAGAUAAUCACGAUGGUGUGAUCACUCACCUAGAGCCAGACAUCCUGGAAUGUGAAGUCAAGUGGGCCUUAGAAAGCAUCACUACGAACAAAGCUAGUGGAGGUGAUGGAAUUCCAGUUGAGCUAUUUCAAAUCCUGAAAGAUGAUGCUGUGAAAGUGCUGCACUCAAUAUGCCAGCAAAUUUGAACAACUCAGCAGUGGCCACAGGACUGGAAAAGGUCAGUUUUCAUUCCAGUCCCAAAGAAAGGCAAUGCCAAAGAAUGCUCAAACUACCACACAAUUGCACUCAUCUCACACGCUAGUAAAGUCAUGCUCAAAAUUCUCCAAGCCAGGCUUCAGCAAUACUUGAACCGUGAACUUCAGAUGUUCAAGCUGGUUUUAGAAAAGGCAGAGGAACC
ensembl:lncRNA